ACGCUGAAUCUUUCGAUUUUAUAUCGUGAAGAAAUGUAGCGUAUGGGUAUGGUUGUCGGUUUGUUUAGCAUGUCCAAAGUUCCUUUGAUAGGGGCCAUAUUCCGAAGAGGGUGCGAGACCUGUGCGGACAGUUGAACAUACCGUAUGAUUAUACCGUAGAGUCGGGUUGCUUGAAAGUGCAGCCUUAAGUGGGUGAUAAACAAACAAUACCUUA
rnacentral:ncRNA from 1 species